rnacentral:rRNA from 3 species
UUUAUUUGAGAGUUUGAUCCUGGCUCAGGAUGAACGCUGGCGGCGUGCCUAACACAUGCAAGUUGAGCGAUUUACUUCGGUAAAGAGCGGCGGACGGGUGAGUAACGCGUGGGUAACCUACCCUGUACACACGGAUAACAUACCGAAAGGUAUGCUAAUACGGGAUAACAUAUUUGAGAGGCAUCUCUUGAAUAUCAAAGGUGAGCCAGUACAGGAUGGACCCGCGUCUGAUUAGCUAGUUGGUAAGGUAACGGCUUACCAAGGCGACGAUCAGUAGCCGACCUGAGAGGGUGAUC